rnacentral:lncRNA from 1 species
AAAUUCAAGGACAAAAUAGAUAAAGGUAAAAACUUACAGAGAAAGAAUGAAACAUGCAUUGACUGAAUAACAAUAAUCACCCACUAGACUUCUCUCUUAAAAUAAGAAAUUUGCCUUAUAAAAAUGGACUACUUAAUUAAUCCUCUCUAUCUUUUUUUUUUUAUUUUCUUUUUUCCUCUUUCUACACCUAAUUAAUCAAAAUCAUAUGACCAAAAAAGAAAAAUUUACAGCUAUAUACGAGAUAGUGGGUGGUCAUAUCCAAUUACCACGUCCACGUCACGGUUAUUUCUUUUUUCAAUUCAGUUACUGACAGUUAUUCCACAUCAGCAAGAGUAAAAUUCAACCAACUCAUCCAAUGACUCAGGCUGAGGAUCAGCAUUUUCAAGCAUCCAAAGCAAAUGUUCAAAGAGAACAACUUCACAUCCAACUGUAAUAUAUUCUUCAGAAUCGCCGGACUUUUCGACGAGUUCACGGAAAAGCGGGUGGUCAACGACGUCGGAGUUUACAAGGUACCGGCGGCGCGAUUUUCCGACAUAGACAGGAUACACAUUUUUGUUAGAGCAGUGAUUAUCAUCGGAAAAGGAAUCUUCGUCCGAGGAGGAAGAAUGAUGUGUGGCUACGACGGCGCUGCCAUUUACGCGGCCGAGUUUGAAGGAUUGCAUUUUCUUUAACACAGAUUUGAGUUUCGUGAGUUUGCCUCCUUUGGCCAUUUUUUGUAAGGUUAAAAAUGGAAAAUUUUGAAGGGAGAGAGAGGGUUUGAAGUGAAGAAGAAGAAGAACGGAGAGUGAGGUUUGAGGAGAAAGUGGGAGGAAGGUUCGGAUAUAUAAGGAAAGGGGAAGGGUAAAAUUGGAAAUUUAUAAUGGGCAGCAGUUGCACUGUUAUCUAAUGACUCAGGUUGAGGAUCAGCAUUUUCAAGCAUCCAAAGCAAAUGUUCAAAGAGAACAACUUCACAUCCAACUGUAAUAUAUUCUUCAGAAUCGCCGGACCUUUCGACGAGUUCACGGAAAAGCGGGUGGUCAACGACGUCGGAGUUUACAAGGUACCGGCGGCGCGAUUUUCCGACAUAGACAGGAUACACAUUUUUGUUAGAGCAGUGAUUAUCAUCGGAAAAGGAAUCUUCGUCCGAGGAGGAAGAAUGAUGUGUGGCUACGACGGCGCUGCCAUUUACGCGCCCGAGCUUGAAGGAUUGCAUUUUCUUUAACACAGAUUUGAGUUUCGUGAGUUUGCCUCCUUU